rnacentral:lncRNA from 1 species
CAUGGGGUUUUGAUGGUGGUCACUCAUGAUGGGAUUAGCCUCUCCUUCUUUUUCUCUCUUAUUCUGCCUCUUAUUCCUUCCCUUCAGCCACCAUAUGUGAGAACAUAGCAAGAAGAGAAAGACUGAUGCAAGUCAAGAAUGUCUUUGCUGGGAACUCAAUUGGCCACCACCUUGAUGUUGCAUACUCUCCAGUCUAUGACAACCUGUGGGACUAAGAGAUCCAUGCAUGAUCUCGAACGUCUUAUUGGCAAGCCAGAAGGUGGAAGACUGGCGAUGUCUGAACCUAACAUGUGUAGCUUCAGACACAAGAGAUGAGUGUCAUCAGGUUCCAAGGGUGAAAACAGGGCGGCAGGCUCCCUGCCUGUUUUGGCCUGCAGAUAUGGAUAUGGAUGAGGUUACAAUAGAGGACAUGGCCCAGGCUGUGAAAAUAUGGAUAAAACAAGAAAGGAAAGAAGAUAAGAAAGUAUGAAAAUUCAAAAUCCAAAGGAAAG